rnacentral:rRNA from 1 species
UACGUAGGGCGCAAGCGUUAUCCGGAAUUAUUGGGCGUAAAGAGCUCGUAGGCGGUGUGUCACGUCGGCCGUGAAAACCUGCAGCUUAACUGUGGGCGUGCGGUCGAUACGGGCAUCACUGGAGUUCGGCAGGGGAGACUGGAAUUCCUGGGUGUAGCGGUGGAAUGCGCAGAUAUCAGGAAGAACACCCGUGGCGAAGGCGGCUCUCUGGAACGCAACUGACGCUGAGACGCGAAAGCGUGGGGAGCAAACAGG